rnacentral:rRNA from 1 species
CCUACGGGUGGCAGCAGUGGGGAAUAUUGGGCAAUGGGCGCAAGCCUGACCCAGCAACGCAGCGUGAAGGAAGAAGGCUUUCGGGUUGUAAACUUCUUUUCUCAGGGACGAAACAAGUGACGGUACCUGAGGAAUAAGCCACGGCUAAAUACGUGCCAGCAGCCGCUGUAAUACGUAGGUGGCAAGCGUUAUCCGGAUGUACUGGGUGUAAAGGGCGUGUAGGCGGGAAAGCAAGUGAGUUGUGAAAACUAUGGGCUCAACCUGUGGGUUGCAUUGGAAACUGUUUUUCUUGAGUACUGGAGAGGCAGACGGAAUUCCUAGUGUAGCGGUGAAAUGCGUAGAUAUUAGGAGGAACACCAGUGGCGAAGGCGGUCUGCUGGACAGCAACUGACGCUGAGGCGCGAAAGCGUGGGGAGCAAACAGGAUUAGAUACCCGUGUAGUC